CGUAUUCCCGUCUCGCUUGUCUGGAGGAUCAGCAUUUGAUUCGACUAGGAAAGGUGCCCAGUAAAAUGCUAUGGUUGUAUUGUACUCCUCCUACACAUUCAUUCAAAUUACUAGAGAAGGUCUUGUUCCCUGAGGGAAUCACAGAUUGGACCAUACAAACCAUGGAUUGCCACUGAUUGUAGUGUAUUGAAUCACCAACGAAUAUCAGUUUCUUCCCCCUGAGUUUCUCUAGCAGCACCUUUCCAUCAAACCUAGAACCCCAAAGAAAGAAAGUCUAUUGAGAGAAAAAGAGAGUGUUUACUCAUUUUGCUUAUUUUGUUCUCAGAAAGGUGGAACUGACCUUGGCAAAGAGCAAUCUCGAGGUUGCCAUCUCCAUUUCUGGAUGUGUGACGUUAUCAAGAACCCAUUCACCUGUGAAAACAUCACAGAUCUCUAGUGGAACCAGAUCAGUCUUCUUGUCUUUAUCUUCUUUGCUUUGUUGUGGUGAACUGAUGUGUUCUUGCACUUUAUGUCUCUUGGAUUCCUGAAACUGGCCAAUCCUCAGCUGCUUCUCGUUGUACAGAUAGCAUCCGAGAAGGAACACUGGAAGAAGAAUGACUGCAAAGUAGAGCAGAAGAAGGUAACCUUUCCUUGCUCUGCCAUCGAUUUGUUUCAUACCGUCACGUUAUGUUUCUGGAGAUAUGAGAAGAAUGGUAUAACAACUAUGAAUGUUGGGUCGUAGUUGGUUUAUUAACUCCAACUAAUUCAACAUAUUUUACAAUCAUGGAGCUGAUAAAACACACCUACUAAUCUUGUCAUGUAUUGUAACUAUAAUAUUUAUGUUUCCCUGCGUAAAUGUACACUUUAUUCAACAAAUUUUUUUAGCCUAAUUCACAAAACAAUCUAUGGCAUACUUGGCUCUCACUAUAUACAUCACAAGAAUUUCGAAAUAACCAAAAAAACAAAAAAAAAAA